rnacentral:tRNA from 1 species
GUUGGGUUAGAAUAGCAGGUUAGUUCGCAGGACUUUCAAUCCUGAGAGAGUGGGUUCAAAUCCCCUACCCAAUA